rnacentral:rRNA from 1 species
CAGUAGCCACGGGAAUACGAAGGGGGCUAGCGUUGCUCGGAAUCACUGGGCGUAAAGGGUGCGUAGGCGGGUUUUUAAGUCAGAGGUGAAAUCCUGGAGCUCAACUCCAGAACUGCCUUUGAUACUGAAAGUCUUGAGUAUGGGAGAGGUGAGUGGAACUGCGAGUGUAGAGGUGAAAUUCGUAGAUAUUCGCAAGAACACCAGUGGCGAAGGCGGCUCACUGGCCCAUAACUGACGCUGAGGUGCGAAAGCGUGGGGAGCAAACAGGAUUAGAUACCCGAGUAGUCCCUGUCUCUUAUAC